AUGGCCGGGUCGCUGCCCAGCUCGGCCAGGCGCCGGCCGGUGGCCGCCAGCUCGGCGCGCAGCGCCGUCACCUCCUGGCCCGCCGCCUGCAGCGCCCCGUCGAUGCGCAGCGCCAGCUGCUUGUUGUCGUCCAUCAUGUGCAGGAUUUUGGCCUGGGGGGAGGGAGGAAGAGGAGGAGAGAGAGAGAGAGCUUUUACCAGGAAGUUGACAGCUCUGCAAGGAAUCUGUGUCCCAGAGGGAUGGGAGUCCCUGGCCAUGUAGAUGAGGCAUGAAGAGAUUGGGAAUAUUUCCUAAGGACACAAGGGAAACCUGAGUCAAUGCCAGAACAAUUCCCAGCUGCAAGAGCUGUAUCACCAGCUUCUUCCAGUGCAUCCUCAGAAAUGGACCCUCUGUGAUGGGAGCAAGAUCUCCAAAGUGGGAUUUUUGGUCUGUGCCUCAGUUUUGUUGUGCCCUGGCAUGCUGUAGGGUCAGCUUCCAACUGGCCCCUUCCAAAUAUCACCAGGGGCAUCUGUAUGGUUGUUAUCCCCAAGAAAAUCCAGUCCAAGAGACCAGCAACCUCAUCAGCAAUCCCCAGGAAAAGCACAGCACGGCCCACAUUCCACAGUCUCUUCCAGCACAUCUUGACUAAAGCUACAGCAGUUGUUAAUAUCUACUGGUUUUUCCCCUCUGCAAAGGUGUAUUUAUUACUGCAUUUUACUGUGGCAAGCACAUUUUACCCCCCUCUCACUCAUAAAAUACAGAGCACCAACUCUUUCCUUCCUCAGCUGGGAUAUUCAGCAGCAUCUUUAUGCAAACCUUGCUGAUGUGGUACUGCUGUAAGAACCUGUAAGGUAGAAAGUUCUUACAGCAGUAAGAAUAAUAAUAAGUUACUAACUUACAAGUUAUUCAAACUGAAUUAAACAGAGUUAAGGCUGGACAGGUUAAAAAUCUGAGUGAAUAUUCUGUUUCUCUCCGUGAUGCUGCCUCACCACAUUUCCCCAUCUCUCUUUCUGUGUGGGUAAAAUGGUCUUGGCGACCUUCCUGUGCUGCACAUCCCUCGAGAGCAUGAAAACAAACCCAUUAAUGUUUAUAAAGUGUCUCAGACUGGGGGAAUUACAUCACUGUGGCGAGAUACAAGCUUAAUGGAUCAAAACAAACCCCAGCUCCAAACCCCCCAGCUUAGACACAUCUCAGUUACCCGGCACAAACCUCAAGGAAUCCCACUGAGAAGGGAUAAUUGAGAGAAAAAUGUGAUCCCAGAGAUUUUUCUGCAGUAAACCCAUUUUGUGUUAAUAGAAAGCAGAUUUCUAGACCCCUUUGCAAACGAAUGACUUCCCCAGCAUAUUUCACAGCUGAGCGCAUCCAUGGCACCAGCUUUGGACACGGGGCUAUUAAACCCAACAUUUGUUUAAUGAAUUACAGCAGGCCAUGAAUCUGUGUGUGCUCAGCCUGUGUUUAAAUGUUUAUUGGGAAGACUUCAGCAGCCAGCUCUGCUUGAGCAGGUAUCAGCCUCAAUGAUGAGCUCUCGCUGCAACGCACCCAAAACUUUGAACAUGUUUUUGGGUUCUGCUUUCUCAUCCAAGACAGAUUACCCAGGAGGUUCAGGGAGUCUGCUAAACAUAAAACCUUUUGGGCUCAGUGCAAGUUUGGGGUGUUGUCUCCUUGAUGAUGAGUGAGAUAAACUGUUGUGCAUCUCCCACCUGCCUGGGGUUGGUCCCUGCAACUGAGGGGUGGAUUAAGCCAUUAAAACUCACACAUUCAAGCAAGGCUGAUGUGCUGCAGCCAUUUCCAAGAUGACCCCACUCUCGCCUCACCAGUCGAUCUAUGAACCUUGAUAAAAAAUUAACUCUG